rnacentral:rRNA from 1 species
UACGUAGGGUGCGAGCGUUAAUCGGAAUUACUGGGCGUAAAGCGUGCGCAGGCGGUUCGUUGUGUCGGCGGUGAAAGCCCCGGGCUCAACCUGGGAAUGGCCGUUGAAACUGGCGAACUGGAGUGUGGCAGAGGGGGUGGAAUUCCGCGUGUAGCAGUGAAAUGCGUAGAGAUGCGGAGGAACACCGAUGGCGAAGGCAGCCCCCUGGGCUGACACUGACGCUCAGGCACGAAAGCUAGGGAGCGAACAGG